CCCUAGCCCUGAUAGUAGUGAAAAUCCUUGUUGGUCGGGGUUUGGCCAACAAGAUUGUAACGGAUAGCAGGAAAUAGC
rnacentral:sRNA from 1 species